UUAUCAAAAGCUAGUGGAGUGGGGUAUUACCUUUACCAACUGAAACUGUUCGGCAGAAUGAGUCAGAUCACACUCCAGAGUGGGCUAUCUCAUUUCUUGUGGUUCAUUACUUAUGACCUACACU